rnacentral:ncRNA from 1 species
UUGGUCUUAAACCCACUAUUACUUACACCCCUAAUUAUACAUGCAAGCCUCAACACGACAGUGAAACAGCCCACCAUAGCCAAUCUGGAGCAGGUAUCAGGCACUAAGCCCACAACACCAAGCAAGAAGCCACACCCCCACGGGCCAGCAGCAGUAGUUAAUAUUAGGCUAUAAACGAAAGUUUGACCUAGCAAGGGACUAUAGGGCCGGUUAAUCCACGUGCCAGCGACCGCGGUUACACGACAGACCCAAAAUAAUACCUACGGCGUAAAGCACGACCAAAUAACAGUUAACACAUUAGGAACGAAACCACGCCGGGCUGUAAAAAGCCAUAGGCCACAAGUAAUCAUCGCCUAACAACUAACAACUUCCACUCGUGAAAGUUGGGACACAAACUAAGAUUAGAUACCUUACUAUGCCCAACCAUAACCCAACAAUCAAAUAACCCAUUGUUCGCCAAAUAACUACGAGUAUAAACUUAAAAUUUAAAAGACUUGACGGUACCUCACAACAACCUAGAGGAGCCUGUCUAAUAACCGAUACCCCACGAUUAAACCCAACCCCCCCUAGCCACAGUCUAUAUACCGCCGUCGCCAGCCUACCUUGUAAAAGAAACAAAGUAAGCCCAAUAGUAACACACUAGUACGACAGGUCGAGGUGUAACUUAUGGGUGGGCUAAGAUGGGCUACAUUUUCUAUUACAGAAAAUACGAAUAGACUAUGAAACAAGAAACUGAAGGCGGAUUUAGCAGUAAACUAAGAAUAAAACACCUAGUCGAAACCAACGCAAUGAGGUGCGU